CAGGAUGGUGAGCAGAAGGAGAGCAUGGUGGACUCUUGUUUACGAGCUGGCUGAGCGGGGUACACUGACUAGGAAAGAGCAAAUGUGUUCCCGCUGGCGCCUAGAAGCGACCACACAUUCUCUUCAUAUUCCAAAUGGAAUAGGUGGAAUUCAAUGGCACAGAGGUCGGGGGAGGAACAACACAUUUGCCCUUCUGGAGCCCCUGCUGCUUCGUGUGUACAUCUGAGUGGCUGACUGCCAAUCCAAUUAACUGGCCAAAUGGAGAUCAAUUCUUCUUCACUGAGAAUGGUUUCUUCUUAAAAAAAACACCACCACCACCACCAUAAUCUGUGGAAGAACAUUUUAGCACACGACGUAUGAGUGUUUCAGGGGCUCUGCUGACUUGCACAGGAACAACUGGACUUCAGAAUGGAAAUACUCCAAGCUAAGAAGUCAUCCCAAUGUAGAAAUGGGAAAGAAGUCCGCUCCAAAAAGAAUUCUUUCUUUAAACAGAAAUACAGAAUUAUACAAUUUUCAAGUUACAAAACAAAACUAUCUUAAUAUUUACAUUAACAAAUCUUGUUUAAGUAUGCCAACUUUCAAACUAUUUUGAAACUGGUAUGUUUAUGCUGUAUUUUUGGAAAAAGAAAUCGAUACAGUCUUUAAAACUAGUAAUUUCAAGGUUGCGCAUCUCAAGCAAGGACACUCACUGGAACUUUCCCACAUGAAGCCUAAUUUGGAGUAGUGUAAUCACCCCCUCAGAAGUACAGUGUGAACAAGACAGAGCAAUGACCAUCCACAGGAGGAUGGUGGGAAUGGAGCCAAGAGCACCACCAGGAUGAGGAAGAGACUGAGGUCCCAAAUGCUGGUCUGAGCGCAGCCCAGAGCCAGGCGCGCUCACUGCCUUACCUGGCUUCUGUAUCACUGCGUUGCAAGCAUUUGCAAUUUCUUCUCUCUUUGCUUCAUCUGGGUAUUGAUUCUCAUUGAAGUAACUGCAGAGGCAAUCAAUUAAGACACAAAGUUUGUACUUUUAGAAAUGUGCUCUCCUUAACACACAGGCUCACUGAAAAAGAUGUCCUUUUCUAGGAUGUAACAUUAAUGUCUAGUCCAGGCUGUCUGAUGGAAUUUCCUAUGAGGAUAGAAACAGUCUGUCCAACCGGGCAGCCACUACUCACAUGUGGCUGCUGAGCACCUGAAAUGACGCUGAUGUGAUGGAGGAAGUGGAUUUUUGAUUUUAGUAAAUUUAAACAGUUACAUGUGACUGGUGGCUACUAUAUUGGAUAGGACAGGUUUAGCCACUGCUCGGCUUCGAUAAAAGAUGUACUGGAUACUGAAAUCACAGACUUCUGCUCCAGAGGCACUGGUGAUGACAGGACUCUUUCGCGUCUUGUUUGUGGUAGCAAAACUCGGAGAUUACCCAACUGUCCAUCAAUAGGAGAAUGACAGAGCAAAUUAUGAGACAUCUGUAUUUACACACAGCUAUUUAAAAAGGACUAGAAAAAACUAUUCACUGGCCUGGGGAGAUGUUCUUGACAUGGUCCUAAGUGGAAAAAAAAAAACCCAAUCUGUAGAAUAAUGUGCAUGUAAAAGUACUGUUAAGAAAUUUUUAAAAUUCCUGUCUAACUUAGAGAAUGAACUUAUGGUUGCCAGGGACAAAGAGUGGGGGAAGGGAUAGUUAGGAAGUUUGAGAUGGACCUCUACACACUGCUGUUUUUAAAAUGGAUAAUCAACAAGGACCUACUGUAUAGCACAGGGGACUCUG